rnacentral:rRNA from 1 species
GAUGAACGCUGGCGGCGUGCUUAACACAUGCAAGUCGAACGGAGUAUGUUAACCGAGACCUUCGGGUCUCACCUGAUAUACUUAGUGGCGGACGGGUGAGUAACGCGUGAGCAACCAACCUUAUGCAGAGGGAUAACAAUUAGAAAUGAUUGCUAAUACCUCAUAAGACCACGCUAUCGCAUGGUAAAGUGGGAAAAACUCCGGUGGCAUAAGACGGGCACGCGUUCGAUUAGCUAGAUGGUGGGGUAACGGCCUACCAUGGCGACGAUCGAUAGCCGGACUGAGAGGUCGACCGGCCACAUUGGGACUGAGACACGGCCCAGACUCCUACGGGAGGCAGCAGUGGGGAAUAUUGCACAAUGGGGGAAACCCUGAUGCAGCGACGCCGCGUGAGUGAAGAAGUAUUUCGGUAUGUAAAGCUCUUUUAGCAGGGAAGAUGAUGACGGUACCUGCAGAAAAAGCCCCGGCUAAAUACGUGCCAGCAGCCGCAGUAACAC